AUUAUUAUUUAUAAAAAUAGCCCUUCUCUUCUUCUUCCUUGAGCCACUCAAAGCCUAGCCGGCCCCUUCGUUUUUCUUCUUCCUUCAGCCGCCGUUGCGCAGAUCGGACGCUGAACAUCCGCCGCCAGCCACGAAUCCCAGCCGCUCGUCGAUCACCUCCACCGCUCACAUCCCUUUCUCUCUCGGCAACCCUUGCCUAACGGUGCCGUCCGCGAGCAUCGGCGACCCAAACCGCGCGAUCUCUCCCUUCUCAGUCGCGUGUCCGUGCCUCUCCUCGCCGUCGACUCUUCGCACUGGGGUUUUGCACGCCUCUGCUCACGCCGUGUCGGUCGUUGUUGACUCUCAGCCGUCCGCGGGUGCUAGAUCUAAGACCGUGGGUUCGACGUCGUUGCUGAUCCGUCUUGUCGUCUAGAGCCACUUUUUCAUCCGGCGUUGCUUCUUCGUCUGACAUCGCCCAGCUUUUACCGUCGUCGCGGUUGCUGUCACAUCUCUUUUGGGAGCGUUACUCAGAGGAUUUUGAGGACGUUGCUCAUCGAGAAGGAGACUGAUUUUUGUUAGGAAUUGUUAAGUUUGGAUUCGCGUUUUGGUAUGAGUUCUAAAAUAUGCUAAGAGGAAAUUUUGGAGUCGAAAUCUUGCGAGUUUCGUUUGGGGGACUUAAUUCAUGGUUUAUUUUGUUGAAGAGCGUUAGCUUGGAUUAAUAUCUGAACUUGACUUCAAGGUAAGUAAUCUUACCACUGGAACUGCCCAGGGGCCAGGCUUUAGUUCUAUGCUAGCAUGAUAAGUGUGUGUUAUGGUAAAUGUUAGCAUGUUGAUUGACAGUAUGACCUGAAUCAAAGUAUGUUCUGGCACAAAUUCUGAUUUGUUUACAUACACACCUAAGUGCUUGAUCGUUAGUAUGUGAUAGUAUGUAUUUUGAUAUGUCGAUGUCUGAUCUGCUGAUGUUGAGGCCUUGCAUGUUGUGGAUUUAUGAUAUAAGUUAUACAUGGAUGAUGUAUAAUAUGUUAUUAAGAAUUAUGUGUAUGUGAUGAAGCCAUGGUAUCAAGGAUUUUUAUGUAUGCUUUAGAACUGUACAAUGUUGAAUCAUAGCACGUUAAGAC